GACGAGACGCCCCCCACCCCUCCAGCUCGGCCUCUCCAUCCAAGUUCCCGGUCCCCGGCCGCCCGGAUCCGGGGAUGGCAACCGCCGCCCGCCCGCCUCUGCGCCCUUUUUUCCAGCCGCCGCGCAGAAAUUUAGGUCAAGGACGUCGGGAUCAAACCCAAACCCUGGCGCUCCUUGGGCGCUCCCGGAGACCCCCAGAACGGGGGGCGGGGGGCUUUCAGGAUGGUGCGGACACCCUCCGCACAAACCCCAGCCACAAGUUUUAUUUUCCUUUCGCGCUGGAAGUUCUGUCUGGCUCUCGAUCCACACCGGCACGUCUUGCGCGGCUCCCCGCCCUUCCCCGGCAGAGGAACUUUUGUAUCCACGUCCAUAAGUCAAUCAGGCUGCAGUUUUGCCUUCUCAUGUUGCCUUUCUCUGGUUAUACUGGCCUCAAAAAAUGAACUGGUACCAGCCCUUUCCCUUGAAAC
ensembl:lncRNA